CCGCAAAGACACCCAGGAGUUUUACAGGAACAUGUGCCAGCAAAUUGAUGUUCUGAGGGACACACUGGAAAAUAUGGAACCCUCAAAACUGAACCAGCUGAAAAAAAUACUAGACAAUGAAGUUCUGAUGAAAAGAGAAACUGCUCAUGAGCCGUGGAUGGGGCUGAUGGAGGUCGUGCUGAGAUCUUUGGAGGGAGUGCUGUGCAGGAUGAAUGGGGAGGUCUGGCAGCAACAGGACA